AUGAGAGCGGGCGAGGUCCCGGGCGAGGAGGCGGGUCCCUUUCCUCUGAUUGGCCGCCGCCGAGCUCGGUGGGCGGAGCAGGAAGGCGAAGCCGAAGAGGAGAGUCCGGCUCCCCAUCCUCGCCCAAGUGCAUCGCGGCCUUGGCGCCCCGUGAAGGGGAGGAGGAGAAGGGGGGGCGCAGAAGAGGGAAAGAUCCGGCAAAGUCUCUCCGGAUCCCAGGCCGGGGGGGUCCAUGGAUCGGGCGCGGCGGGCCGGGAGAGCCCCGGGGUGCAGGAUUCCCGCGCUAGGCCGGCUCUUCCCAGCCGGAGAAGGGAUCCGAUCCGGAGCAAACCCAUUUACACGGAGCCACCGCGCUCUCCAGCUCCGCCUCGACUAAAAACUUCCUCCGGCUUCCUUAGCUGCGGAAUGACCUCCCUGUUCAUUGGUGGAGAAAUCGAACAGAAAAUUAAUCUGGUAAGGAAGCGUUUUGCUUUUUUAGAACCUGCAGCUGGAUUUUGUAUGGAUUGGGGAGGUGGGGGAAAAUAAGGCUGCCCCCGUCUCCCUUUUUAUCCUUCCUCCGACAGCUUGAAGAUCCGUCUUUUCAGGCAGGCUUUUAACAUUCAUGCUCGCGUCCCUGAAUGCCUUUUCAAAAGUUAAGAUGGCUUUUAAUGUUUACUUGCUUUUAAUUUUCAGUUGGAU
rnacentral:lncRNA from 1 species